rnacentral:rRNA from 1 species
AGAAUACGAGAGAUACUACGGUAUCAAAAGUGGUUAAUGUCAUGUUUCCAAGAAAAACUCUCAUAAUUUAUAUUUAGAUAUACCUGUACCUUAAACUGACACAGGUAGGUUAGUAGAGAAUACUAAGGAGCGCGAGAUAACUCUUUCUAAGGAACUCGGCAAAAUGACUCUGUAACUUCGGGAGAAAGAGUGCCUUAUUAAUUAUAAGGUCGCAGUGAUCAGGUCCAAGCGACUGUUUACCAAAAACACAGGUCUCCGCAAAGUUGAAAAACUAUGUAUGGGGGCUGACGCCUGCCCAGUGCCGGAAGGUUAAAGAAAUUGGUUAGCUUCGGCGAAGCUGGUGACUGAAGCCCUGGUGAACGGCGGCCGUAACAAUAACGGUCCUAAGGUAGCGAAAUUCCUUGUCGGGUAAGUUCCGACCCGCACGAAAGGCGUAACGAUUUGGAUACUGUCUCAGAAAGAGACUCGGUGAAAUAGAAUUGACUGUGAAGAUGCGGUCUACUUGCACUUGGACAGAAAGACCCUAUGAAGCUUUACUGUAACUUGAAAUUGAUUUUGGACUUUCCUUGCGCAGAAUAGGUGGGAGGCUAUGAUUCUCCUUUUCGGAAGUUGAGGAGCCAAAAUAUGAGAUACCACUCUGGGAAAGUUAGAAGUCUAAUAAUAUUUUAUUACAAGAUAUUUGACAGUUUCAGGCGGGCAGUUUUACUGGGGCGGUAGCCUCCUAAAAAGUAACGGAGGCGUACAAAGGUUUUCUCAGUCUGGACGGAAAUUAGUUGUAGAGUGUAAAGACAUAAGAAAGCUUGACUGUGAGACUUACAAGUCAAGCAGAGACUAAAGUCGGUCUUAGUGAUCCGACGGUGCUGAGUGGAAAGGCCGUCGCUCAACGGAUAAAAGUUACUCUAGGAUAACAGGCUGAUCUCCCCCAAGAGUUCACAUCGACGGGGAGGUUUGGCACCUCGAUGUCGGCUCAUCGCAACCUGGGGCGGAAGUACGUCCCAAGGGUUGGGCUGUUCGCCCAUUAAAGCGGUACGUGAGCUGGGUUCAGAACGUCGAGAGACAGUUCGGUCCAUAUCCGGUGUGAGUGUUAGAGUAUUGAAAGGAGCUUUCCUUAGUACGAGAGGACCGGGAAGGACACACCACUGAUGUACCAGUUUUUGUGCCAACAGAAUACGCUGGGUAGUCAAGUGUGGAGCGGAUAACUGCUGAAAGCAUAUAAGUAGGAAGCCCACCUUAAAAUGAGUACUCUUUUAUUAAGGUCACGAUUAGACUAAUCGUUUUAUAGGUAUCAGGUGUAAGAUCGGUAACGAUUUUAGCCGAGAUAUACUAAUAGACCGAAAGUUUUA